GGGAAAGCAGCAGUAUUUUCUACAACAUGGUUCCUGUGGAAAUUGGUUUUAUGUCUCUCAUUCUUUAUGUCUGAAACUUCAGCCUAUCCAGAGGGUGCAGAAAUAAAUCUUCCAGAACUCAGCAAGUUGAGAAGCCUUUCUGGCUGGAUACCAAAGACAAUAAAGAAAGACUUGCACCCUUUUGGCCAAAGCGUUCUGUUUCAUGACUAUACUGAAGGAGACUUUGACAUCCAAUGGAACCAUUAGGUCCUUCAGCAUGAUUUGUUUUUCAACAGUCAAUGGAUCUGGACUGAAAAGCACUUCUUUAGCACCUACCAUGCAGCGUUCACUUGCAGGUCACACUGCUUUCAGUCUGCACAGUAUGAAACUGGAUGGAUGUCUUGGCUUGUGCUGGUGCAGCCUGGAAGAAGGGACUCAGAGGGGAGGGCACCUUUUCACUCUGACCCUUUCCACAGCACCACACUCUGCCCUCUCCCACAAGUUCAGUCCGCUAAGUGGCAGUUGAGUGAGCAUCCAUUCUGGAGUGCAGUGUUGGGGACCAGGCUGUGCUAGAGUGUGUCCUAAGAGAGCUGCACUACCCACGUGACUUCAUGAUGCCCCUGAAUGUGUCCGGAGUGCCCACCACAAUCCAGACUCUAGUUUAAGAAUCCCGUCAUCUCACUUAGCUUGCAGAGCACCAAGAAGGGUACUUCUAUACUGUUACCCUCAUCUCGAGAAUGAGGAAAUGAAGGCACAAAAGUUAAGCACCUGUCUAGUAUCACACAGUCUGGAGCAUCAGGUCUCCUAAAAAUCCAGGCUUUUCUAUCUGAUAGGCUGUGCAAGAGGAAGGACAGGAAAAGUGUAACAACUGUCUCUAACUGUUGAAAGUGAUCAUAUGAUGGAAACCAUAAGUUUGUCCUGUGUGUAUAUAGCAUAAGACCCCUCUCCCCUGGCAGUAAAUUCAGUUUCUUAGUUGUCCAGGUAAUAGUUCUGGUUACAGUCCUUGAUACUUUUGUCUCCCAGAAAUGCUGGUCACUAUGACACAUAUUGUAAGAAAUAAUCUCCAACUGACAAGCCACUCUGCCUCUGUACUUCCUGCUUGCUUAUCUUAUAUAAGCCCUAGACCACCAGAGGUCAAGGCCUAAUGUUCUGCAAAUGACCCCAAUCGGUGUCUGUCGACAUAAAUAAAUCAGCCUCCAAA
rnacentral:lncRNA from 1 species